rnacentral:lncRNA from 1 species
UCUAUGGUUUUCGACUCAAGUCAAAUACAGAGAUGAGGAGGCAACAUGCUCAGAUUUUCUUUUAGAAUCUUAUGAGAAGACAAGCAAAUACAAUAGAAAACUCAAACCAAAUAGAGUGAAGAAAGUAACUCAAAGCACAAUUGAGAGAACAACAUGGUAUAGAAGAAACAUGUUUAAGAAAAACCUUUUAGAAGGGACUUAAACAGGGUUCAAUAGAAGAGAAAACAAUAACACUUAAGAACAUAAUAGAAGAUAUAGUAGAAGAAGGUAUUUUUCAGAAUGAACUUAGCCAAGGUUCAGAAAAGAAAAGAAAUAGUCUAACACUUAAGAAAACAGUAGUGGAAAUACAUUUAAGAAGGUCUUUUAGAAGAACUUAAAAAAGAUUCAAUAGAAGGAAAACAAAACUUAAGAACUCAGUAGGAAAUACAUACAGUAGAAGAACACAAAAUACCAGAGAAGUAUAGCAAAAGAACAUAUAGGAAAACACAUCAAGAUAAACAUGCGAGCAUGGUAUCGAAACAGAGUAGAAAAAUAAAGCACAAAAGAACAUGCAUAGUUGAAAGAAAGCGUAAGAAAGCAUUAGAAGCACAUGCUUGACAAAUACACACAAAGAAAGGAAAAAAUUUGGAGAAACAUUUUGAACCUUUCAGAAAACCCUAAAUCGAAGAGAAGUGAUUUUAAAAGAUAAUUUUUGAAAGAAAAAUUGGGGAAUUGUUUAAAACCCCAAGUAGAGCACAAAUAUGUGACAGAUCUAAGAAAUAAUUAGAGAGAACCUCGAGUAGUCAGGAUUUCAGAAGAACCUUAGAAUGAUAAAGGCUUGGAAAAAGUUCUGAUUUGAGUCGGAUAAGUCAGAAUCAGGCUAAAAAACCAUAGUGUGCCGGAGAUGGCCAUAGAACCUUGAAUCGAUGAAGAUGUGAACGGAAACCAUCAAGGUCAGACAUUGAACCUUCGAAUACCAAGUGUUUAAGAGUAGAGGGAGGUGUGUUUAAGCCAUUCAUGGCCUGUGAGUCCAUGGAAUCCGGUGAGAUUAAGGUGGAAGAUGGUGAGAGAGGCUACAAUUUCGAGAGAGUUUGAGAUAGUUUGAGAGGAGAGGAAUUUGAG